UAGGGUCAUAUCACGUUGAAACACCGAUUCUCGUACGAUAACCGAAGUUAAACAAAGUCGAUCCUGGUCAGUAACUAGAUGGAUGACCGCUUGGAAGUACGAGGUGCUGUAAG